GACGAACGUUGGCGGCGUGCUUAACACAUGCAAGUCGAACGGUAAGGCCCUUCGGGGUACACGAGUGGCGAACGGGUGAGUAACACGUGGGUGAUCUGCCCUGCACUUCGGGAUAAGCCUGGGAAACUGGGUCUAAUACCGGAUAGGACCACUGCCUGCAUGGGUGGUGGUGGAAAGCUUUUGCGGUGUGGGAUGGGCCCGCGGCCUAUCAGCUUGUUGGUGGGGUGAUGGCCUACCAAGGCGACGACGGGUAGCCGGCCUGAGAGGGUGACCGGCCACACUGGGACUGGGAUACGGCCCAGACUCCUACGGGAGGCAGCAGUGGGGAAUAUUGCACAAUGGGCGCAAGCCUGAUGCAGCAACGCCGCGUGAGGGAUGACGGCCUUCGGGUUGUAAACCUCUUUUAGUAGGGAAGAAGCGAAAGUGACGGUACCUGCAGAAAAAGCACCGGCUAACUACGUGCCAGCCGCCGCAGUAA
rnacentral:rRNA from 1 species